rnacentral:rRNA from 1 species
GACGAACGCUGGCGGCGUGCCUAAUACAUGCAAGUUGAGCGCUGAAGGUUGGUACUUGUACCAACUGGAUGAGCUGCGAACGGGUGAGUAACGCGUGGGGAAUCUGCCUUUGAGCGGGGGACAACAUUUGGAAACGAAUGCUAAUACCGCAUAAAAACUUUAAACACAAGUUCUAAGUUUGAAAGAUGCAAUUGCAUCACUCAAAGAUGAUCCCGCGUUGUAUUAGCUAGUUGGUGAGGUAAAGGCUCACCAAGGCGAUGAUACAUAGCCGACCUGAGAGGGUGAUCGGCCACAUUGGGACUGAGACACGGCCCAAACUCCUACGGGAGGCAGCAGUAGGGAAUCUUCGGCAAUGGACGAAAGUCUGACCGAGCAACGCCGCGUGAGUGAAGAAGGUUUUCGGAUCGUAAAACUCUGUUGGUAGAGAAGAACGUUGGUGAGAGUGGAAAGCUCAUCAAGUGACGGUAACUACCCAGAAAGGGACGGCUAACUACGUG